rnacentral:lncRNA from 1 species
GGCACGGGUACCGGCCGACUUUUCAUUCGGCCGGCCAUGUUGAAUUUUUUUGCCAGCGGUAUGUUUGACACGUUUGGUCUUCGAAUUUGGGAGAAGAUUUUUACGCCGUAAAUGACUUUUAUGAGUCUUGAAAUAACAAUAAUUUGAUGAAUAAAUGGUCCGCCAACAAGGUUGGGUGUCUGAGUGCAGCUGUCUGUCCGCACAUUCAUCCCUGGGUUCAGAUCAUCCCGGGCCCAGCCGGGAGGUGCCGAUGUCUGCUCUUCAUCUGCCCAAGGAGUCCUGGAAACAGUUGGCGGAUCUUGUGCAUUUCAACCACAAAACAGUAUGUACUUUUUCUCACUGAAAUCUUUUGGAAAGAUUCCCAUAACUGACCAUCACUAAUUUCAAUGACCUAUCAGCCAUCAGAAAGUGAUAUGUCCUAAAAAGUCUUUACUGAGAAAACACUUGGAAGUUUUCAGACCAGUCUCAUAGAUGGCCAGAUAUGGCAAUCUUUCCUCUUUCUUUUCAGGAGUUCCAAAUGUUGGACUGAAUGAUAUUGGGUUUGGCUGGGUUUGGCUGCGUUGCGUUGCCAUGAAUGAAAUGUGGAACAAAGUUGAUGUCAAAAGACCAUUUGGUUGCAAUAUUCCUGAGCUGUUACUAGUGUUAGGAGUUCAACUUGUGUGAAUUUACCAUGUGAAUACUUACUGUGAAUACUUGAAAGUUUAAGACUUAGUGUGCACUCAAAAUCAACAAUAACUGGACUGAAAAAUAGUUCGAAUUGUGCAGUCAAGCUAUAAUUCAGGUAAAUUCAGUAGAUUAAUUUGGGAAAAUGUACUAUCAUUUAUUUGGGCAAUUGCUUUGCUCCUGUUAUUGGAAAUGCACAGUUUUGAAUGCGUGGCUUUUUUUCUCAAUUCUUCUGUACGGUGAUGACAACAUUUGUUUGUCUUGUUUGUUUUACCAGUCAUGAUUAAACACUAUAGGCGUAAUUGAUGACAAAAAUAGAAGUAUAUACGAGAACUGUAUACCUGUAGGCGUAUCUCAAUUUGCUACACCUCUAUUUGACAACUGAAAGUCACUUAGAAUUUCAAUGACGUGAAAUUUACCAAUUCAAAUUCUUUAUUCCUUCCUUUAAAUCCUCCAAACGUUUUCUUCAAUCCAUCCUCAAGUGUCCCAUUUUUGUGCUGGAUUUGAUUUACAAAAAAUAGACAGUCAAACUUUGGCAUCUACUGUAAUUGAUGCAAAGUGGAUUACAAGGACAAAAGUGCUUGUUAUCCAAACUAAAUUUUUUAUAAACCAUUGUACCAUUUUUUAACUGAAAAAACUGCACUUACUCUUACAUCAAAUUGAAAUGCGAUUUGAAAUACAUGCUUUUUUAUUUACUGCUUACUACUAAGGCCAAAAUCAGAAACAAAUAUUUAGUAACAAAAAAAUGAUUUAAUUUCCCCACCCUCUAAUUAUGACUAGUGUCCCGCCCCUAAAAGAGGGAGUUUGCCCAAAUGCUGUGGUUUUCAUGUAAUUUGAACUCUUUUUUUUUUAGCUUACCCCAAGAAGUCUUGAUAAACUUACUUUUGUGUUUAUUUUGCCAUUUCCAGUAGAAAACCCCACCCACAAAAAGGUAGGGGAAAAUGGCUAUUCAACUGUGUACUCUUGAUUUAUACCACAAGCCAACUGACUAUCUGAUAAGCUUACAGUGACUUUUAGGUAGUACCCAAUUGCUUGAGUAUAUGGACCUGCAGUUUGCUGAAUUGCCUCUCACCUGUGAAACGCUGGAGCUAGUCAUUGCACUGCAGCCACAGUUGAGACAAGACUUUCCCUUACUCCCCUUGGUGAUUCGUGACUGGCUCAUCACCGUACAUUCCCUCCCCAUACCUCCACCCUCCAUCCCCUCUUCCCCACCCUCCAUACCCUCUUCCCCACCUUCCAUACCCUCUUCCCCAUCCUCCAUCCCCUCUUCCCCAUCCUCCAUCCCUUGUCUAACAUCAUUUGCACGCACUAGUUCAUUUCUAUCCUUCCUCCAUCCUCUCACCUACUCUUUUCUUCUGUCACUCGCACGCACCGUUUCAUUUCUAUCUACCUUUCCUCUUCCCCGUUUCUCCUUCCUCUCUUUUCCUCCCUCUCCAUCUCUCGCACGCACCGUCUAAUUUCUGCUCUUCCUCUCUCACUAACAUGGGAUCAUGACAGCUACCUUCCCGGUGGUGAUCCUGUUAAGGGAAGCUUUCCUGUUAAAGGGAAAUUUCCUGAACUAAAGCUGUCAAAUAGGGGACACUAGUACACUGGAUCAUUCAUUAAUCUUCAUUACGUUUUAUAAUUGAGAUCAUGAUGAUAAUGUCAUGUUGCGUUAUGCAAUUUCCUAGUCAAAAGAAACUUUCUUUCUGACUCGCCCUGUAUGAAUCACACAAUAGUGAACAAAUACCCCCUUACACGCGCUGAUCCAGUACGGUACACGUGCCACGUGAGUGUUAUUGAGUUUUCCACCAGCCUGGCGAGUGGCAUUGUGUUGCACUGCAAAAAGCUGCAAAACAAUCAUCUUUCCUAAGGAUUUUGACUCCAAGAACAGAGGCCUCAUCACGAACAAUGACUCAUCAAGGAUUCAUUGCGGACCAGGACCAGCGUAGUGCUUGAAGUUGAUGAUCGAACCUGGUGAGAAUGAGACGGCUCUUUUAAAAAUCAUCCGCCAUGACCGCACCUGUCUGUGAGGGAUGAGGCACCAUCCUGAGGUCAUCAUCACAUCUUUUCUGGCUUCUCUCAGGAUGAUCGAGUGCUCCAAAUUGAAGAGACUGAUCUUUGCAAACCAUGCUGAGGCUGGAUUGGACCAGACCAGUGCCUAGACUAGGCAGGACAGGCUGGAUGACCAUCACCAUGGCGACUGGGAUGAUCUUAAGGGUGACUGAUCACAUGACUGAGAUACUGAGUCCUGGUGGAGGUUUCCUUGCGUCUCAUUUGGAAGACUGCUGACAGGAAUUGGCUGGACUGGAUCAAGUGGCUGCUGUUGGAGCAAACUUUGAGCAAAUCCUUGGCAAUGAGAGGUCCUAAUCCAAUCGUGCGUUAUAAUAUUCCGAGUCUAAAAAGUUAAGCCUCAAAGAGAAAUACCAGACAAAAAUAAAUAAAAGUUUGUAAUAGAACCAUGUAUAAGAAAUCUAAUGAGUUUUGGAGGUUCUUCACCAUGCAAUCCUUCUAUUAUCUCAUAUUUUGUGAGGCAGUACUUUCAUUGCCAAGGAUUUGCCAGUAUGAUUGAUGAGUUUGAAUUAGUUGUUCAGGCACAUGUCACAAAAGUCUGAAAUGUUUCAAAAUGAACAAGAAUAGGCAAAUUGCAACCACCACAAUCAACAACUCCUUAGUUUAAACUUUUUUUUUAGACCUGAAGUUUGAACUUGUGAAAAAGAAAACCUUAUUUCAGAGUUUGUUGUCUUGAUGUGAAUAUGACAUGCAUUAACUCUGAUACUGUCUAGACUUUUCAUUUGAAUUCUGAGUGUUUCUAACUAAAAAUGAAGGCCUAAAAUGUAUUAAAACUAAAAUCCUUAAAAAGAGACACUUCUGAUUUUCACAAAAUUAAGCAAGUAACCAAAAAGUUGCAUACAGUUAACUUUGCCAAAACAAAUUCUGUUUUUUUUCCAAGAAAGUUUGUUGACAUGUGCCUGGACUGUUGUCUAGAACUGUAAAAAAAAAAGAGUUAAGAUGAUGAUGCAAGCAAGAUUAUAAUUGUAUGGAUCUACAAUGGCACAUUAUAAUGAUUGAUCAGUAUACAUUGAUCAAUAUACCAGUAUUUAUAACUGUUAAAUUGUAAAUAGACAUAUAAUUAUAAAACUUUAAUAUUUGAAUUCUGAAAUGAUGUUCUGUUUGAUGUCUGCCAUUGAAUCCUUCAUACUGCUGACGUUUUGACAAUUUUGGAUGGCAGAGAUACGUUAGUUUGAAUAUUGGUUACUUUGAAAUAAUCAAAUAUUGUAUCGAUUACAUAGAAUGUUAACGAAUCUGUCUCUGACGAUGAGAGGAAAAAACGACCAAUUUUUUUGAGGUGAAGAAUGUACCAUUUUUAUUUAUUAUAUAGAUACCUUUAGUCAAAACUUUAAUGUAUUUUGCAUGGUUAUUUACGUAAGACAAUUUAUUAUAAUGUGCCAUUGUAGAUUCAUUUGUUCCUUACAUUAAAGUGAAGUUUCUUUGGUGUGAUGGUGUGUUUCUUUUGGACAUAUCUGCUGUCUGUUUUUACAAGUUUGCAGCACAGAACAUUGCUAUCAUAUCCUGUUGGAUAAAUUCACAUUUUUUAUUCUGUGAUUCAAAACAAGUUUGUUAUACUGUGUACCAGAAAAGUUAACUUGACAUAAUUUACUUCAGGAUAGUUCAAUUUGACCAGUUUUAUGCUGUUGGGAUUUCAAUAUUUUUGUAAGUGAAAAGAAAAAUAACCAACGGUGUGUCUAUUUUAAAAAUUUAAAUAAUUGAAGAUGCACUUUAAAAUCUUUUUCUCAAGAUAAUUUUUUUUAAUGUUUGUGAGAAGACAAAAAAAAAUCAUCUAAGACUUGCUGCAAAUUUAUCUAAGUAGACAGCAGAUAUGUCCUUUGUACUUUGGUGAGGGGGUCGACUUAACUUUGAACUAACGAAUGGCGCCCUCUUGCAUGAGGUUUAUUUUUUUAAGGUUACGCAUUUUACUUACUUUUUUAAAGCCUAUUAAGGGCGCCCCCAUGGGACACACUAAGAUUUUGGAGUUCAACUUGAUAUAAUCAAAUUUUUAAUUGAAAUUAAGCAAGGCACAAGAGGGCGCCAUUCAGUAUAACUAAAUGUUUUUUGUUCAAAUUGCACUGUCUCAAGAGGGCGCCCUUUAUGCUGUUUAAAAAAAACUUUAAAAAAUAUUUUAAAAAAUAUUGUUGAAAUAUAAAGGGCGCCCUCUUGUGUAUUACUUUCGAAUUAAAAACUUGGUACUAUUGCAAUAAAAUACAAGAGAGACAUGCAAA